GACGAACGCUGGCGGCGUGCUUAACACAUGCAAGUGGAGCGACGAACCGGGGCUUGCCCCGGGCAGAGCCGCGAACGGGUGAGUAACACGUGGGUAACCCACCCCGAUGACCGGGACAACCCGAGGAAACUCGGGCUAAUACCGGAUGUGCUCCUUGACCUCGAGGUCAAGGCGUAAAGAUAGCUUCGGCCUUCGCAUCGGGACGGCCCGCGGCCCAUUAGCUUGUUGGUGGGUAACGGCCUACCAAGGCGACGAUGGGUAGCUGGUCUGAGAGGACGAUCAGCCACACUGGGACUGAGACACGGCCCAGACU
rnacentral:rRNA from 1 species